rnacentral:rRNA from 1 species
AAAUUGAAGAGUUUGAUCAUGGCUCAGAUUGAACGCUGGCGGCAGGCCUAACACAUGCAAGUCGAACGGUAACAGGAAGCAGCUUGCUGCUUUGCUGACGAGUGGCGGACGGGUGAGUAAUGUCUGGGAAACUGCCUGAUGGAGGGGGAUAACUACUGGAAACGGUAGCUAAUACCGCAUAAUGUCGCAAGACCAAAGAGGGGGACCUUCGGGCCUCUUGCCAUCGGAUGUGCCCAGAUGGGAUUAGCUAGUAGGUGGGGUAACGGCUCACCUAGGCGACGAUCCCUAGCUGGUCUGAGAGGAUGACCAGCCACACUGGAACUGAGACACGGUCCAGACUCCUACGGGAGGCAGCAGUGGGGAAUAUUGCACAAUGGGCGCAAGCCUGAUGCAGCCAUGCCGCGUGUAUGAAGAAGGCCUUCGGGUUGUAAAGUACUUUCAGCGGGGAGGAAGGGAGUAAAGUUAAUACCUUUGCUCAUUGACGUUACCCGCAGAAGAAGCACCGGCUAACUCCGUGCCAGCAGCCGCGGUAAUACGGAGGGUGCAAGCGUUAAUCGGAAUUACUGGGCGUAAAGCGCACGCAGGCGGUUUGUUAAGUCAGAUGUGAAAUCCCCGGGCUCAACCUGGGAACUGCAUCUGAUACUGGCAAGCUUGAGUCUCGUAGAGGGGGUAGAAUUCCAGGUGUAGCGGUGAAAUGCGUAGAGAUCUGGAGGAAUACCGGUGGCGAAGGCGGCCCCCUGGACGAAGACUGACGCUCAGGUGCGAAAGCGUGGGGAGCAAACAGGAUUAGAUACCCUGGUAGUCCACGCCGUAAACGAUGUCGACUUGGAGGUUGUGCCCUUGAGGCGUGGCUUCCGGAGCUAACGCGUUAAGUCGACCGCCUGGGGAGUACGGCCGCAAGGUUAAAACUCAAAUGAAUUGACGGGGGCCCGCACAAGCGGUGGAGCAUGUGGUUUAAUUCGAUGCAACGCGAAGAACCUUACCUGGUCUUGACAUCCACGGAAGUUUUCAGAGAUGAGAAUGUGCCUUCGGGAACCGUGAGACAGGUGCUGCAUGGCUGUCGUCAGCUCGUGUUGUGAAAUGUUGGGUUAAGUCCCGCAACGAGCGCAACCCUUAUCCUUUGUUGCCAGCGGUCCGGCCGGGAACUCAAAGGAGACUGCCAGUGAUAAACUGGAGGAAGGUGGGGAUGACGUCAAGUCAUCAUGGCCCUUACGACCAGGGCUACACACGUGCUACAAUGGCGCAUACAAAGAGAAGCGACCUCGCGAGAGCAAGCGGACCUCAUAAAGUGCGUCGUAGUCCGGAUUGAGUCUGCAACUCGACUCCAUGAAGUCGGAAUCGCUAGUAAUCGUGGAUCAGAAUGCCACGGUGAAUACGUUCCCGGGCCUUGUACACACCGCCCGUCACACCAUGGGAGUGGGUUGCAAAAGAAGUAGGUAGCUUAACCUUCGGGAGGGCGCUUACCACUUUGUGAUUCAUGACUGGGGUGAAGUCGUAACAAGGUAACCGUAGGGGAACCUGCGGUUGGAUCACCUCCUUA